CUUAUUUUAAUAAGUCAAAACUUUCAACAACGGAUCUCUUGGUUCUGGCAUCGAUGAAGAACGCAGCGAAAUGCGAUAAGUAAUGUGAAUUGCAGAAUUCAGUGAAUCAUCGAAUCUUUGAACGCACAUUGCGCCCAUUAGUAUUCUAGUGGGCAUGC
rnacentral:rRNA from 1 species